rnacentral:rRNA from 2 species
UGAGGAAUAUUGGUCAAUGGACGAGAGUCUGAACCAGCCAAGUAGCGUGCAGGAUGACGGCCCUCUGGGUUGUAAACUGCUUUUAGUUGGGAAUAAAAGAUAGCACGUGUGCUAUGUAUUGUAUGUACCAUCAGAAAAAGGACCGGCUAAUUCCGUGCCAGCAGCCGCGGUAAUACGGAAGGUCCAGGCGUUAUCCGGAUUUAUUGGGUUUAAAGGGAGCGUAGGCGGAAUGAUAAGUCAGCUGUGAAAGUUUGGGGCUCAACCUUAAAAUUGCAGUUGAUACUGUUGUUCUUGAGUGUGCACAGGGAUGCUGGAAUUCGUGGUGUAGCGGUGAAAUGCUUAGAUAUCACGAAGAACUCCGAUCGCGAAGGCAGGUGUCCGGAGCACUACUGACGCUGAGGCUCGAAAGUGUGGGUAUCAAACAGG